rnacentral:rRNA from 1 species
UGGGGAAUAUUGCACAAUGGGCGAAAGCCUGAUGCAGCAACGCCGCGUGAGUGAUGAAGGCCUUCGGGUUGUAAAGCUCUGUCUUCUGGGACGAUAAUGACGGUACCAGAGGAGGAAGCCACGGCUAACUACGUGCCAGCAGCCGCGGUAAUACGUAGGUGGCAAGCGUUGUCCGGAUUUACUGGGCGUAAAGGAUGCGUAGGCGGAUAUUUAAGUGAGAUGUGAAAUUCCCGGGCUUAACUUGGGAGCUGCAUUUCAAACUGGGUAUCUAGAGUGUGGGAGAGGAAAGUGGAAUUCCUAGUGUAGCGGUGAAAUGCGUAGAGAUUAGGAAGAACCCCAGUGGCGAGGGCGACUUUCUGGACCAUAACUGACGCUGAGGCAUGAAAGCGUGGGGAGCAAACA